rnacentral:rRNA from 1 species
UACGGAGGGUGCAAGCGUUAUCCGGAUUCACUGGGUUUAAAGGGUGUGUAGGUGGGUUGGUAAGUCAGUGGUGAAAUCCCCGAGCUUAACUUGGGAACUGCCAUUGAUACUAUCAGUCUUGAAUAUUGUGGAGGUUAGCGGAAUAUGUCAUGUAGCGGUGAAAUGCUUAGAUAUGACAUAGAACACCAAUUGCGAAGGCAGCUGGCUACACGAAUAUUGACACUGAUGCACGAAAGCGUGGGGAUCAAACAGG